rnacentral:ncRNA from 1 species
UCCGACGGGAGGCGAUGACGCGCGGCCCACACUCUGGUCGCCUAGACCGCGCCGAGCCACUGGCGAGACCGACCCGCAUCCGA